AUGUUAGUUAUGUCUUGCAGUUUAUUGAUAUAGCUCCGACUUUCUUCCAGACAUCAUUACUGGUAGUCUCUGGUGUCAUGGUUGUUACAUAAUGUUGCCAUGAAAUUCUUUGGGCUUCUAGUAUUCCCCUACGACACUGAGAUCUUCGUUUUUUGAACUCUACAAGAUUCUCCAACGUGACCACCACGGGACCAUCUUUCGCCUAUUGCCAGGUUUAGAUUUAGAUAUGCUGGCGUCAGCAGCGUUUAUGAUGGAAGAGGUAAUGGUUUU